UACGUAGGGUGCGAGCGUUAAUCGGAAUUACUGGGCGUAAAGCGUGCGCAGGCGGUUUGUAAGCCAGAUGUGAAAUCCCCGGGCUCAACCUGGGAAUGGCAUUUGGGACUGCAAGGCUGGAGUGCGGCAGAGGAGACUGGAAUUCCUGGUGUAGCAGUGAAAUGCGUAGAUAUCAGGAGGAAUACCGAUGGCGAAGGCAGGUCUCUGGGCUGACACUGACGCUCAUGCACGAAAGCGUGGGGAGCAAACAGG
rnacentral:rRNA from 1 species